AGUGAACGCUGGCGGUAGGCCUAACACAUGCAAGUCGAACGGCAGCACAGUAAGAGCUUGCUCUUACGGGUAGCGAGUGGCGGACGGGUGAGGAAUACAUCGGAAUCUACUUUUUCGUGGGGGAUAACGUAGGGAAACUUACGCUAAUACCGUAUACGACCUACGGGUGAAAGCAGGGGAUCUUCGGACCUUGCGCGAUUGAAUGAGCCGAUGUCGGAUUAGCUAGUUGGCGGGGUAAAGGCCCACCAAGGCGACGAUCCGUAGCUGGUCUGAGAGGAUGAUCAGCCACACUGGAACUGAGACACGGUCCAGACUCCUACGGGAGGCAGCAGUGGGGAAUAUUGGACAAUGGGCGCAAGCCUGAUCCAGCCAUACCGCGUGGGUGAAGAAGGCCUUCGGGUUGUAAAGCCCUUUUGUUGGGAAAGAAAAGCAGCAGGUUAAUACCCCGCUGUUCUGACGGUACCCAAAGAAUAAGCACCGGCUAACUUCGUG
rnacentral:rRNA from 1 species